rnacentral:misc_RNA from 1 species
UUGGCGGGCAGCUUUUGCCCCGGCAAUCGGUCCUGUUGGGCGAAGCGGCGCGAAACGCCCUCCAGUUCUACAAAUUCGACCUUGCCUUCCUUGGGGCGGAGGGGAUGAACGCUGAAGGGAUCUGGAAUUCGACGGCGGAGAUCGUGGCGUUCCAGAGGCUGCUUCUCGAGCAUGCCGGGAAAUGCGCAUUUUGCCAUCGACGCCACCAAACUCGGGCGGGCGGACGUCGGAAUUUUUGAUUCCGUGGGCGCGGGUGGGCUUGCUGAUCACGGAUGCGACGGCGGCGGCUUUGGAGGCGCAGGGCGUCGAUCUGCCCGCGCGCAAGAGGAUUGGCCUGCCGCAAUCCGGAGCGGCGCGCGGGUCGCAAGCAACGACGGGGCGGGAAAUGGAGCACAUGCGAUGAAUCAGAAUUGUUACGUGGCCUGCGACCUUGGGGCGGAGAGCGGCAGGGUCAUCCUUGGCACACUCGGGCAGACACAUUUGAGUAUCGAGGAAGUCCACCGCUUCCCCAACGAUGUGAUCAACGUGUUCGGCUCGAUGCGAUGGAAUGUCCUCCGGAUAUUUGAGGAAUUGAAGACCGGUCUCUGCAAGAUCGCGGAGCGGAACAUUCCGAUCCUGAGCAUCAGCGUGGAUUCGUGGGGGGUGGAUUAUGUCCUCUUGAAGGGGCGGCAGCCGAUGCUGACGCCGGCCUACCAUUACCGGGAUGACCGCAACGAGCCUGCGAUGGAGAAGGCGCUCAAGCAGGUUCCGGGCCGCGGAGGUCUUCGAGGCGACCGGCCUGCAGUUCAUGCCCUUCAACACGAUCUUUCAGUUCGUUGCGGAGAUGGAGGGGAAUGCCGAGGUGUUCGGGAUGGCGGAGCGCUUUCUCUGCAUCGGCGAUUACCUGAAUUAUCUCUUCAGCGGCGUGGCCCGGGCGGAGCAGAGUCUUGCGAGCACGACCCAGCUCUACGAUCCGCGGCGGGCACGAGUGGGCCUGGGAUCUGAUCGGAAAGCUUGGCAUCCGGCGGGAGUUGUUUCCGGAGAUCGUGCCCUCGGGGACGCGGUUGGGCCCGCUGCUGCCGGAGGUGUGCGAGCAAACCCGCCUGUCGCCGGGGGUGGAAGUCGUGGCGACGUGUUCGCACGACACGGGAGCCGCGGUCGCCGCCGUCCCGGCGAAGCCAAACGAGAACUGGGCCUACCUCAGCUCGGGCACAUGGUCGUUGAUCGGACUCGAGCUGCCCGAACCGCUGAUCAACGAGCGGGUGCGGGAGUUGAAUUAUACCAACGAAGUCGGAGUCGGAGGCUCGAUCCGGUUCCUGAAGAACAUCGUCGGCCUCUGGAUCCUGCAAGAGUGCCGCCGGGCGUGGAUCAAGGACGGGGAGGAAUACGCCUAUCCCGAUCUGGUGCGGAUGGCGGAGGAGUCGGACUCGUUGCGGUCGCUGAUCAACCCGAAUGCCGCGCGCUUCCUCAAGCCGGGCGAGAUGCCCGCGAAGAUCCGUGCGUAUUGCGAGGAGACCGGGCAACCGGUGCCCGAGACGGUUGGCCAGCAUGCGCGGGCGGUCCUCGAGAGCCUCGCGCUUCUUUACCGGGGCAGUUUUGGAUGACCUCGAGGAACUGACCGGGCGGAAAGUCGGGAUCCUUUACAUCGUCGGCGGCGGGAGCAGGAACCAGUUUGCUCGACCAGUUUGCGGCCGACGCGACCGGGCGCGAGAUCGUGGCUGGGCCGGGCGAGGCGACCGCGAUCGGGAACAUCCUCGUCCAGGCGAUGGCGAUGGGCCAGAUCGAUUCGCUGCAGUCGCUGCGGGCGGUGGUCCGCAGUUCCAGCGCGCUCCAGCGCUUCCACCCUUCGGGCGCGCCCGAGUGGGAGGAUGGGCUCGCCCGCUUCCAGAAACUGACGCUUCUGACCUGAUCUCAUCGCGCCGUGAAAGUGACCCUCUUCAUCCCUUGCUUUGUCGACCAGUGCUACCCGCGGGUCGGGAUCAGCAUGGUCGAGAUCCUCGAUCGCCUCGGGCAUACCGUGGACUUCCGCGAGAAGCUCACCUGCUGCGGGGCAGCCCGCGUUCAAUUCGGGAUGCUGGCCGGAGGCACGGGCGGUUGCGGCGGCGGUCGUGCGCGAGCUGCAGGAUGCCGAGGUCGUCGUGAUCGCGUCCGGCUCGUGCGGGGCGAUGCUCAAGGUCUUCUACUCCGAGCUUUUCAAGGGGACCGACCUCGAGCAGGAGGCGGGAUUGCUGUCCCCCCGGGUUUACGAGUUCUCGCAGUUCCUCAUCGACCGGCUUGGGGUGACCGAUGUGGGGGCAAAAUUUCCCGCCAAAGUGACCUUUCACGACGGGUGCCACGGGCUGCGCGAGCUUGGAAUCAAGGCGGCGCCGCGCGCGCUGCUCGGGAAGGUCGAGGGGAUCGAACUGGUCGAAAUGGGCGAGGCCGAGACCUGUUGCGGCUUUGGCGGGACGUUUGCGG